CCCUUAGAUGUUCUGGGCCGCACGCGUGCUACACUGAGUGGAUCAGCGGGGCAGGUUGCGCGAAAGCGUUUCCUAAUCUUUAAAUCCGCUCGUGAUGGGGAUUGACGGUUGCAAUUUUCUGUCAUGAACGAGGAAUACCUUGUAAGCGCGGGUCAUCAUCCCGCGCUGAAUACGUCCCUGCCCUUUGUACACACCGCCCGUCGCUCCUACCGAUUGAGUGGUCCGGUGAGGCUUUGGGAUCUGAGCGGAAAGAGCGUUUCGCUGUUUCUGCUCGGAAAACUCAGUCGAACCUUAUCAUUUAGAGGAAGGAGAAGUCGUAACA
rnacentral:rRNA from 1 species